GCAUUUAGAUAAGUAAUGUGUCGACGAGCUUAACAUGCAGUCGAACGGCAGCACGGGAGCAAUCCUGGUGGCGAGUGGCGAACGGGUGAGUAAUAUAUCGGAACGUGCCCAGUCGUGGGGGAUAACGUAGAGAAAUUUACGCUAAUACCGCAUACGAUCUAAGGAUGAAAGCGGGGGACCGUAAGGCCUCGCGCGAUUGGAGCGGCUGAUAUCAGAUUAGGUUGUUGGUGAGGUAAAAGCUCACCAAGCCGACGAUCUGUAGCUGGUUUGAGAGAACGACCAGCCACACUGGGACUGAGACACGGCCCAGACUCCUACGGGAGGCAGCAGUGGGGAAUUUUGGACAAUGGGCGAAAGCCUGAUCCAGCAAUGCCGCGUGCAGGAAGAAGGCCUUCGGGUUGUAAACUGCUUUUGUACGGAACGAAAAGGUCUGCCCUAAUACGGUGGGCCCAUGACGGUACCGUAAGAAUAAGCACCGGCUAACUACGUGCCAGCAGCCGCGGUAAUACGUAGGGUGCGAGCGUUAAUCGGAAUUACUGGGCGUAAAGCGUGCGCAGGCGGUUAUGUAAGACAGUUGUGAAAUCCCCGGGCUCAACCUGGGAAUUGCAUCUGUGACUGCAUAGCUAGAGUACGGUAGAGGGGGAUGGAAUUCCGCGUGUAGCAGUGAAAUGCGUAGAUAUGCGGAGGAACACCGAUGGCGAAGGCAAUCCCCUGGACCUGUACUGACGCUCAUGCACGAAAGCGUGGGGAGCAAACAGGAUUAGACACCCUGGUAGUCCACGCCCUAAACGAUGUCAACUGGUUGUUGGGUGCAUUAGUACUCAGUAACGAAGCUAACGCGUGAAGUUGACCGCCUGGGGAGUACGGCCGCAAGGUUGAACUCAAGGAAUUGACGGGGACCCGCACAAGCGGUGGAUGAUGGUGGUUUAAUUCGAUGCAACGCGAAAACCUUACCUACCUUUGACAUGUACG
rnacentral:rRNA from 1 species